UACGAAGGGGGCAAGCGUUGUUCGGAAUUAUUGGGCGUAAAGGGCUCGUAGGCGGCCAACUAAGUCAGACGUGAAAUCCCUCGGCUUAACCGGGGAACUGCGUCUGAUACUGGAUGGCUUGAGUUUGGGAGAGGGAUGCGGAAUUCCAGGUGUAGCGGUGAAAUGCGUAGAUAUCUGGAGGAACACCGGUGGCGAAGGCGGCAUCCUGGACCAACACUGACGCUGAGGAGCGAAAGCCAGGGGAGCAAACGGG
rnacentral:rRNA from 1 species